CCCCGCCGCCUUUCUAGCAACUAGUUGAUGUUAUGAUGCAUCGUUGGUCCGGUGUACGACGGCGCCUGAUGCGAUUUAUGCGUCCGGAAGCCCUUUCAGCCUCCAGGCAUGACCCCACCUGCCUCACAGCUACCGAGGCAUCUCACGGCGGGGUUCCAAUUGCGUGCGCGUAUGGAUGCUCCUUUCCCCGCCGCCUUUCUAGCAACUAGUUGAUGUUAUGAUGCAUCGUUGGUCCAGUGUACGACGGCGCCUGAUGCGAUUUAUGCGUCCGGAAGCCCUUUCAGCCUCCAGGCAUGUCCCCACCUGCCUCACAGCCACCGACGCAUCUCACGGCGGGGUUCCAAUUGUGUGCGCGUAUGGAUGCUCCUUUCCCCGCCGCCUUUCUAGCAACUAGUUGAUGUUAUGAUGCAUCGUUGGUCCGGUGUACGACGGCGCCUGAUGCGAUUUAUGCGUCCGGAAGCCCUUUCAGCCUCCAGGCACGUCCCCACCUGCCUCACAGCCACCGACGCAUCUCACGGCGGGGUUCCAAUUGUGUGCGCAUAUGGAUGCUCCUUUCCCCGCCGCCUUUCUAGCAACUAGUUGAUGUGAUGAUGCAUCGUCGGUCCGGUGUACGAUGGCGCCUGAUGCGAUUUAUGCGUCCGGAAGCCCUUUCAGCCUCCAGGCAUGUCCCCACCUGCCUCACAGCUACCGAGGCAUCUCACGGCGGGGUUCCAAUUGUGUGCGCGUAUGGAUGCUCCUUUCCCCGCCGCCUUUCUAGCAACUAGUUGAUGUUAUGAUGCAUCGUUGGUCCGGUGUACGAUGGCGCCUGAUGCGAUUUAUGCGUCCGGAAGCCCUUUCAGCCUCCAGGCACGUCCCCACCUGCCUCACAGCCACCGACGCAUCUCACGGCGGGGGUCUAAUUGCGUGCGCGUAUGGAUGCUCCUUUCCCCGCCGCCUUUCUAGCAACUAGUUGAUGUUAUGAUGCAUCGUUGGUCCGGCGUACGACGGCGCCUGAUGCGAUUUAUGCGUCCGGAAGCCCUUUCAGCCUCCAGGCAUGUCCCCACCUGCCUCACAGCCACCGAGGCAUCUCACGGCGGGGUUCCAAUUGUGUGCGCGUAUGGAUGCUCCUUUCCGCCGCCUUUCUAGCAACUAGUUGAUGUUAUGAUGCAUCGUUGGUCCGGCGUACGACGGCGCCUGAUGCGAUUUAUGCGUCCGGAAGCCCUUUCAGCCUCCAGGCAUGUCCCCACCUGCCUCACAGCCACCGACGCAUCUCACGGCGGGGUUCUAAUUGCGUGCGCGUAUGGAUGCUCCUUUCCCCGCCGCCUUUCUAGCAACUAGUUGAUGUUAUGAUGCAUCGUUG
rnacentral:lncRNA from 1 species